rnacentral:rRNA from 1 species
GAUGAACGCUGGCGGCGUGCCUAAUACAUGCAAGUCGAGCGAAGCGGGGACGGGCGAGUAACACGUGGAUAACCUCCUAUAAGACUGGGAUAACUUCGGGAAACCGGAGCUAAACUGGAUACUUAUAGAUGGAUCCGCGCUGCAUUAGCUAGUUGGAAAGGUAACGGCUUACCAAGGCAACGAUGCAUAGCCGACCUGAGAGGUGGAUCGACCACGCGAAGACUGAGACUGGGUCCCGACUCCUGCGGGAGGCUGCUAUAAGGAAUCUUCCGCUAUAAGCGAAAUCCUAACUGAGCAACGCCGCGUGAGUAAUAACGGUCUUCGGCUCAUAAAACACUGUUAUUAGAGGAGCGGUACCUAAUCAGAAAGCCACGGCUAACUACGUACCAGCAGCCGCGGUAAUUC